GGGAAAGCGGCGGGCUGUUGCCUAGGCUACGGGAGAGCGGAGAGAGCGUUGGCCGAGGGAGGGGAGCGAGCUGGCUCCGUGCGGGACCAUCGCGGCGGCCGGGACGGCAGCGCUGGAAGGGAUGGAAACAGCUUUCCUGGUGAAACAUGCUCGUUCUGUGUAUGGGACAGACUGCACGAAACACUGGAUCCAGCUCUGUCCCCGCCUGCCUCGUAGCCAAAAGCGCUUCACAAUUCAUGUGAAAAAAAGAUGCCCCGCAAAAAA